AAUCUAGAUCAUAAAACAUACCGGGGCUAUGCAGAGUGGCUCUGUCAAUAUGAAUCUUACUGUGACUAGGUGAACUCACGCCGCACUGGACAGGAAUGGGUUAACUCCUCCUUGCAGGCUGAGGAAGCCCUGCCCCCACAUCCCUACUGAGCAUGCCCCAACUCCAGUACCAGUAUAAGAGUGAGCAGCUUAGGUCAGUCUGGGCUGACUACCAGAGAGGAAGGAUGACCAUAGCAGGCUUCAGAGCCACAGUAACCCCCAACAGCAGAAGCCAGAGGAGCCGAGACCCCAGCAGAGAUCCAAAUACAUGUGGACGUGCCAGGGACUUUGGAGCCACUGGAAACAGCCCAGGCAGAGGAACCUGGGAACCCUAAAGCCACCAAGAUCACAGAUGCAGGAGUCAAACAAUCAACUCUAUCAGCCAGACAGUGGAGGGAGACUACAGAUUCCUCAUGCAGAAUAUCACUGUUUGGACCUUUUCAGCUGCGUUCGAGCAUGAAUCAGCUGCCGUACUUUACUCCAGCUCUCCACAAGGGUGCUGCAAUUGAGCUUCACAUAAAGUACGUGUAACAGCAAACCAGCUUCAACCCUUGCCUGCCACUGGGCUCCUUUUAUUUUGAUUAGAACCAAUCUGCUCUUUCAAAAUUCUCAUUAUCCAGAUUGGAGAUACAGAGGGUCUGAUUUUUCACUACCUUUCAAUUUGUGUAGUCAUUUACAGCUGUACACAGUGAAUAAAAAGUAUAAAACACUACCAGUCCAGUUCAGUAGUAUUUGAUUCCCACUUUGUAAAUUCAUUUAUUUCUAUGCAAGGAGCAAGGCAGUGGUGAAUCAGGCCUGUGGUCUUCCUUGUUCAAGUCUCUGCUUUGAUUCCAGAGCAGGUCAAAGGUCCUGAUUCUGCUUUAAAUCCAGGGACAAAGAUGCCAAUUCUGAGUUACAUUCCUCCUGCCCCAUGCCACUCCGGUGGAAUAAGCAGAAAGAAGGUGGCUUAAUCAGCUUCCUGGAAAUUCCUUGUAUAAGGAGCUUCCCCAGACGGUAUAAAACCAACAUAGCCAGCCCUAUAAUACUUCCUCACAGCUCCCCGUGCAAGGAUGGGCCAGAGGGCAGUGACAUGCAAACAUGUAUGCAAGCCUUGUAGACUAUCACAUCUUUGGGAAGAAAUCGGUACCUGAAAGAGCUCACUGGAAAUGGGCCAUUUGUCAAUAAAAGUCAGGCAUCAGGAACAAGGAAAUGGGGUGUUGGUGGAGAUGGGUGAAAUGAAUACUAGGAAAAUAUUACUUCAUGUCCCUGUGCAUAGCAAAAACCAGCAUCCGAAAGAGAAGUUUUGAUGUUACUGUCAAAAAGCAGCCCUCUCCACUGUUGGCGAUGGGCUUUAUAUUUUAAGAUGGGAGGCUACAUACAGAGGAUCAAAUUAGGGAUGAUAUAAAUGUUAGUUUCACAUCAGUAAGUGGGUGCCAGGGAAUCCAUGUUCAUGCAACUUCAGGCAGAAGAGGGUGUAAGUAAGAGUUGCAAGGCGCCUGCUUUAAUUUUCACCUUCUUACCCUCCCUCUUACUUGCUUUUCCUCCUAUAUCACUAAGUUCCAGCUCCUCUGCAUCUACAUUACACCCACUUAGAUUCCCUAAGACUCAGAACUACGGACCAAUGUGUAAUUUACACACCACCUGUGAAUUUGGCCCACUGACCUAAAUUCACUGCUGGAAUAAGCAAAUGAGAAUAUAUUGAUUUCAGUAUAUUGCACCUAUUUAUGCCAGUGGUAACUCUGCCCCGAGCAUUCUGGGCCUGAUUCUGAGCUUAUUUUCACCCAUGUAAAAUCAAAGUAAUUCCAUUGACUUUAAUGGAGUUAUUCUUGAUUUACACCAGGAAAAAGAGUGUGAUUCUGACACUAGCAUGCUACAGCUAGCUGGAAAGAGGUCU